UGGCGGCAUGCCUUACACAUGCAAGUCGAACGGCAGCGGACCUUCGGGUGCCGGCGAGUGGCGAACGGGUGAGUAAUAUAUCGGAACGUACCUUCAGUGGGGGAUAACGUAGCGAAAGUUACGCUAAUACCGCAUAUUCUGUGAGCAGGAAAGCAGGGGAUCGCAAGACCUUGCGCUGAUUGAGCGGCCGAUAUCAGAUUAGCUAGUUGGUGAGGUAAAGGCUCACCAAGGCGACGAUCUGUAGCGGGUCUGAGAGGAUGAUCCGCCACACUGGAACUGAGACACGGUCCAGACUCCUACGGGAGGCAGCAGUGGGGAAUUUUGGACAAUGGGCGCAAGCCUGAUCCAGCCAUGCCGCGUGAGUGAAGAAGGCCUUCGGGUUGUAAAGCACUUUCAGCAAUGAAGAAGUGUAUUAUGCUAAUAUCAUAAUAUAUUGACGUUAGUUGCAGAAGAAGUACUGGCUAACUCUGUG
rnacentral:rRNA from 1 species